CUCCGGGGGCGUGCCCUUUCCCUUCCUUCCCCACCUUCUCUCUCUCUCUCUCUCUCUCGCUCGUCUUUCACUCAUCAUAAGUCGUCUGGUCGAUGUGUAUGCAUCAUCGCCUCAUCAUCAUCAUCCUCUCCGUCUCCGCUGCCGGCUCCUCCCCGAAACCUUUUGCCCUCUCCAAUCCCAGGUUGUUGAUAUAGGAGGACUUGGAGAGAGGGAUUCGCGAUGGCGAGCCACAGGGCGAGCUUUCCCCUGCGGCUCCAGCAGAUCUUGUCGGGUGGCAGGCAGGUCUCCCCCGCCCUAAAAUUGGAGUCCGAGCCUCCACCAAAAGUUAAAGCAUUUAUUGAUAGGGUGAUUAAGAGUCCCUUACAUGAUAUUGCUAUACCUCUUUCGGGCUUCCAUUGGGAGUACAAUAAGGGAAAUUUUCAUCACUGGAGGCCGCUUUUUAUGCAUUUUGAUACAUACUUCAAGACAUAUCUCUCUUGUAGGAAAGAUCUUCUUUUAUCUGAUAAUAUUUCAGAUGAACAUCCAUUUCCCAAGCAUUCCGUUAUGCAAAUUUUAAGAGUCAUGCAAAUUAUUUUGGAAAAUUGUCACAACAAGAGUUCAUUUGGCGGUCUCGAGCAUUUCAAGCUUCUGCUUGCAUCUACAGAUCCAGAGAUUGUUAUUGCUACAUUGGAGACUCUUUCUGCACUGGUUAAAAUAAAUCCCUCCAAGAUACAUGUGAGCGGGAAGCUGAUAGGUUGUGGGUCUGUAAACAGCUGUCUACUGUCUUUGGCCCAGGGCUGGGGAAGCAAAGAAGAAGGUCUGGGUUUACAUUCAUGUGUUGUGGCAAAUGAGAGGAACCAGCAUGAAGGAUUGUGCCUGUUCCCAUCAGAUGUGGAAAAUAAGUGUGAUGGGGCCCAAUACCGUUUGGGCUCAACCCUCCAUUUUGAGUAUAACAUGGCUGCUUCCCCUGACACUGAGCAAACCAGAGAGAGAAGCAAAUCAUCCAACAUGUGUGUCAUACAUAUCUCAGAUCUUCAUCUUCGGAAAGAAGAUGAUUUGAGCAUUUUGAAGCAGUACAUUGACCAAUUCAAUGUACCUCCAGAACACAGGUUCUCAUUGCUUACAAGAAUUAGAUAUGCCCAUGCCUUCCGUUCUUCCAGAACAUGUAGGCUGUACAGCAGAAUCAGCAUACUUGCCUUCAUUGUUCUGGUACAAUCCAGUGAUGCUCAAGAUGAACUUGCAUCUUUCUUUGCAAAUGAGCCUGAGUAUACAAACGAGCUGAUCAGGCUAGUUCGUUCUGAAGACUGUGUCCCUGGAACUAUAAGAGCGCUUGCCAUGCUUGCAUUAGGAGCACAACUAGCUGCAUAUGCAUCAUCUCAUGAACGGGCUAGAAUAUUGAGUGGCUCAAGUAUUAUUUCUGCUGGUGGAAAUCGUAUGCUACUGCUAAGUGUACUUCAAAAGGCUGUCUUGUCACUUAGUAACCCCAGUGAUCCUUCUGCUCCAUUAUUUGUUGAUGCUCUUCUACAGUUUUUCCUGCUUCAUAUUCUAUCAUCCUCAAGUUCUGGGAGUGCUAUAAGGGGCUCGGGAAUGGUUCCCCCUCUUUUACCCCUUCUACAGGACUUUGAUCCUGCCCAUAUGCAUGUUGUCUGCUCGGCAGUGAAGACCCUUCAAAAGCUGAUGGAAUACAGUAGUCCAGCUGUAUCCCUGUUCAAGGAUUUAGGUGGGGUGGAGCUUUUGGCUCAAAGGAUGCAGAUUGAAGUCCAUAGAGUUAUUGGCACAGUUGAUGAGCAUAGCAACGCAAUAGUCGCUGGUGAUUUAAGAUCUGAUGAAGAUCAUCUUUAUUCCCGGAAGCGGCUUAUCAAAGCUUUACUCAAGGCACUCGGUUCUGCUACAUAUUCUCCGGCAAAUUCUACAAGGUCCCAGAACUCCCAUGAUAAUUCAUUGCCUGCUUCUUUAUCUUUGAUAUUUCACAAUGUGAAUAAAUUUGGAGGAGAUAUUUACUUUUCAGCGGUAACUGUUAUGAGUGAAAUUAUUCACAAGGACCCAACAUGCUUUCCUGUUUUGAAUGAAUCUGGUCUUCCAGAUUCAUUUCUGUCAUCUGUGGUUUCUGGGAUACUUCCCUCUUCCAAAGCUCUUAUUUGUAUCCCUAAUGGUCUUGGUGCUAUAUGCCUCAAUGCUAAAGGAUUGGAGGCAGUUAAGGAAACUGCUGCAUUGCGGUUUCUUGUAGACACUUUCACAACCAGGAAAUAUUUGGUGGCAAUGAAUGAAGGUGUUGUUCUUUUAGCAAAUGCUGUGGAGGAGCUUCUUCGGCAUGUAUCUUCACUAAGAAGCACGGGUGUUGACAUAAUCAUUGAAAUCAUCAACAAACUUGCUUCUAUGGGAGAAGACAAAUGCAAGGAUUCUUCUGGUAAUUUGGAUGAGAACACUGCCAUGGAAACAGAUCUUGAGGAAAAGUUAAACGAGGGACAUGAUUUGGUGAGUGCCUUGGAUUCAGCUGCUGAUGGCAUCAGCCAUGAGCAGUUUGUGCAGUUAUGCAUCUUUCAUGUCAUGGUUCUUGUUCAUCGAACUAUGGAAAACUCUGAAACUUGUAGAUUAUUUGUGGAGAAGGGAGGUAUAGAAACAUUGUUGAGAUUGUUACUGCAGCCCAGCAUCACAGAGUCGUCUGAAGGUAUGCCGAUUGCUUUGCAUAGCACUAUUGUCUUUAAGGGCUUUACUCAGCAUCAUUCUGCACCUCUGGCGCAUGCAUUUUCCUCUUAUUUGAGAGAGUAUUUGAGGAAAGCUCUAAGUGGGUUUAAUUCAAUUGCUGGCUCAUUUUUAUUGGAUCCCAAGGCUACACCAGAUAGUGGAAUCUUUUCUUCUCUUUUUGUAGUUGAAUUUCUUCUUUUCCUUGCUGCAUCAAAAGAUAACCGUUGGAUAAGUGCAUUACUUACAGAAUUUGGAGAUGCUAGUAGGGAUGUGUUAGAGGAUAUUGGGCAGGUUCAUCGGGAAGUGUUGUGGCAAAUUGCCCUUCUUGAAGAUUCAAAGAUCGAGACAGAUGCUGAAUCUUCCACUUCCGCAAAUGAGGUGCAAAGGUCAGAAGCAGGAAUAAGUGAAUCUGACGAGCAAAGGUUUAGUUCUUUUAGGCAGUAUCUUGAUCCAUUAUUGAGACGAAGAGUGUCAGGGUGGAGUAUAGAGUCACAACUUUCUGACCUUGUUAGUAUAUAUCGUGAUCUUGGCCAUGCUGCUAGUGGUUCGCAAAGACUUGGUAUAGAUGGUCAUUCAAGUUUACGAUUUGCAUCUAGUUCCCAAUCACAAUCUUCCAAUUCUGUAGAUGCUAAUAGUACUAUGAAAGCGGAAGAAGACAAGCAGAGAACAUAUUAUUCUUCCUGCCGUGACAUGAUGAGAUCACUUUCUUAUCAUAUUAGCCAUCUAUUUAUGGAGCUGGGAAAGGCAAUGCUGCUUGCUUCUCGUCGUGAGAACAAUCGUUUCAAUGUGUCCUCAUCUGUUGUAUCUGUUGUUAGUACAGUUGCCACAAUUGUGCUGGAACACUUGAACUUUCGGGGGCAUGCGAGUCCUCCUGACAUGGAGAUCUCCAUAUCCACAAAAUGUCGUUACCUUGGCAAGGUCAUCGACUUUAUUGAUGGGAUUCUAUCAGACAGGCCAGAGUCAUGUAAUCCAAUCAUACUAAGUUGCUUUUAUGGUCGAGGUGUCAUCCACUCCAUCUUAACAACUUUUGAAGCUACUAGUCAGUUGCUCUUUGCAGUUAACCGUGUGCCAGCUUCUCCUAUGGAGACUGAUGAUAAAAUCUGUAAAGAAGAGAAGGAAGACACAGAAAAUUCUUGGAUAUAUGGUCCCUUGGCCAGCUAUACUACUCUCAUGGACCACCUUGUGACAUCAUCCUUCAUCUUAUAUUCCUCCGCAAGACAGUUGCUUGAACAACCUAUUGCAAAUGGAGAUGUUCCAUUUCCUCAAGAUGCUGAGUUUUUUGUGAAGUUGCUUCAGUCCAAGGUAUUGAAGGCUAUACUUCCUAUCUGGACUCACCCUCAUUUCGUUGAAUGUGAUAUGGAGUUCAUUAGUGCAAUGAUAUCCAUCAUGAGGCAUGUUUAUUCUGGGGUUGAAGUUAGGAAUGUCAGUGGCAACGCUGGAGCUCGAUUAAGUGGUCCUCCACCUGAUGAAUCAGCAAUAUCACUGAUUGUAGAGAUGGGCUUUUCUCGGGCUAGGGCUGAAGAGGCACUGAGACAGGUGGGAACAAAUAGCGUGGAGAUUGCGACUGAUUGGUUGUUUUCACAUCCAGAAGAACCACAAGAAGAUGCUGAACUUGCUCGAGCUCUUGCCAUGUCUCUAGGGAACUCUGAUGCAUCUUCAAAGGAAGAUGAAACUGCAAUUCGUAAUAAACUUGACCAAGAAGAGGAAGCAGUCCAAUUGCCUCCUGUUGAUGAAAUUUUAUCUGCUUGCAUCAGACUUCUGCAGGUGAAGGAGCCUUUAGCUUUCCCUGUUCGUGAUCUGCUUGUGACGAUUUGCUCAAAAAAUGAUGGUCAGUACCGGUCAAAGGUCCUCAAUUUCAUCAUUGAUCAUGUAAAACAUUGUCGUCUGGCAUCUGAUCCAUCCAACAACAAUAUGCUGUCUGCACUUUUUCAUGUACUAGCAUUAGUUCUUCAUGAAGAUGCAAUAGCACGAGAAGUUGCCUUUCAGGCUGGUCUGAUAAAGAUUGCUUUAGAUCUGCUUUCGGAAUGGAACCUUGGUUUGCAGGUUGGUGAGAAGUCCCAGGUUCCAAAAUGGGUGACUGCAGGUUUUCUUUCUAUCGAUCGUAUGUUGCAGGUGGAUCCAAAAUUGAUGUCAGAAAUUGUGAAUAUGGAGCAGCUGAAAAAGGAUGAUCCUAAUACCAAGACCCCGUUGGUGAUCGAUGAGAGCAAGCAGAAGGAUUCACAUUCCAAUCUGGGAUCAAGUACUGGGUUUUUAGAUAUGCAGGAUCAGAAGAGGCUCUUAGAGAUAUGUUGCAGAUGCAUUCAGAACCAACUACCUUCUGAGACCAUGCAUGUGGUACUGAAAUUGUCUGCAACACUGACUAAGGUUCAUUCGGUUGCUGUUAGUUUCUUAGAUGCUGGAGGUUUGCAUGCAUUGUUUAAUUUGCCAACUAGUAGCUUAUUCUCUGGAUUCAACAAUGUCGCAUCGGCAAUAGUUCGUCACAUUCUAGAAGAUCCCCACACUCUUCAGCAGGCUAUGGAGUUAGAGAUACGUCAUAGUCUUGUCACAUCCACAAAUAGACACUCAAAUGCUGGAGUCACACCACGUAAUUUUGUCCAAAGUUUGGCCUUUGUUAUUUCUAGGGAUCCAGUGGUGUUCAUGAAAGCUGCUCAAGCUGUGUGCCAGAUUGAGAUGGUGGGUGACAGGCCGUACAUCAUGCUGUUGAAAGAUCGUGAGAAAGAGAAGUCUAAGGAGAAAGACAAAGACAAGACAGAGAAAGACAAGCCACCAGCUUCUGAUGGAAAAUUUACUGCAGGGGAUGUGAGUUCCAUUGCUGCAGGUUGCGGACAUGGUAAACUGCCAGAUUCGAAUGCGAAGAACACAAAACACCACCGAAAAUCUCCUCAAAGCUUUACAACAGUAAUAGAGCAUCUGUUGGAUUUGAUUGUAACUUUUGUUCCGUCUCCAAAAGUUGAGGACCAGUUUGAUGGUGUUCCUGGUACCCCAUCAGUAGCAGACAUGGAUAUUGACUACACUUCAGCCAAAGGAAAAGGAAAAGCUAUUGCUGUUUCAUCUGAAGACAGCAAAAUUGUUAGCCAGGAGGCCUCAGCAUCUCUUGCCAAGACUGCUUUCAUCUUGAAGCUGUUGACAGAAAUACUUUUGACUUAUGCUUCAUCAAUUAAUGUCUUGCUUCGUAGGGAUGUUGAAGUCAGUAGUUUCCGUGGUCCUGCACGUGGCUCAUCUGCUAAUAGCUGUGGCGGAAUAUUUCAUCAUAUUCUUCACAAGUUUCUUCCGUACCCAGGGAUCCACAAGAAGGAUAAAAAGGCAGAUGGAGACUGGAGGCAUAAGUUAGCUACCAGGGCUAACCAGUUUCUGGUGGCAUCAUCUAUCCGUUCUACAGAAGGGCGUAAAAGGAUAUUUUCUGAAAUCCAUAGUCUGUUUAAUGACUUUGUAGAUUCAUCAAGUGGUUGCAGUGCUCCAAACUCAAGUAUGCAUGCAUUUGUUGACCUGCUUAAUGAUAUCCUUGCUGCCCGUUCACCGUCCGGUGCAUAUAUUUCAGCAGAAGCUUCAGUGACCUUCAUAGAUGCUGGGUUAAUUCGGUCACUGACGCAUACUCUACAAGUUCUGGAUUUGGAUCUUGCGGACUCACCAAAGAUUGUUACUGGAAUUGUGAAGGCUCUGGAAUCAGUAACUAAGGAAUAUGUUCAUUCUGCUGAUCUUAAUGCUGCAAAGGGUGACAACUCUCUGAAGCCUGCUUCUGAUCGGAGUCAACUAGGAUCAUCUUAUGAUAGUGGCAGUAGAUUCCGAUUGCUAGAAACAACAUCCCAGCCUGAUCAUACUGAAGGGGUGGCUGACCACGUUGAAUCUUUUAAUUCUGUUCAAACUUCAGGCAGUUCACGUUCUGUUACAGAUGACAUGGAUCAUGAUCGGGAUAUGGAUGGGGGUUUUUCUCGUGAAGCUGAAGAUGAUUUUAUGCAUGAAGCUUCUGAAGACGGUGCAGGCAUUGAAAAUGGUAUUUCAACUGUGGAGAUCAGAUUUGAUAUCCCACGCAACGCAGAGGAUGAAAUGGGUGAUGAAGAUGAGGAUGAAGAUAUGUCAGGGGAUGAUGGGGAUGAAGUUGAUGAGGAUGAUGAGGAUGAUGAUGAAAACAAUGAUUUGGAGGAAGAUGAAGUCCAUCAGUUGUCACAUCCUGAUACAGAUCAGGAUGACCAGGAGAUUGAUGAUGAAGAGUUUGAUGAGGAUGUGCUAGAGGAAGAGGAUGAUGAUGAUGAAGAUGAUGAUGGAGUCAUACUACGGCUAGAGGAGGGACUUAAUGGUAUCAACGUUUUUGACCACAUUGAAGUUUUUAGUGGGAACAACAAUUUUUCUAGUGAGACACUACGUGUGAUGCCUCUUGACAUAUUUGGUUCAAGACGCCAAGGUCGCACCACAUCUAUAUACAAUCUUCUCGGAAGAGCUGGUGAUCAUGGUGCUCAUCUUGAACAUCCACUCCUGGAACAGCCGUCUUCGUUCAGGCACCUUGUUCAUCAAAGACAAACAGAGAAUGCGGUUGAUAUGGCUUUCUCAGAUAGAAAUCAUGAGGGUACCUCUUCUCGAUUGGAUGCUAUUUUCCGGUCAUUGAGAAGUGGACGACAUGGGCAUCGCUUCAAUAUGUGGUUAGAUGAUAGCCAGCAACGUGGUGGCUCGAGUGCACCUUCGGUGCCUUUAGGCAUCGAGGAGUUACUUGUUUCCCAAUUAAGGCGCCCUACACCUGACCAACCUUCUGACCAGAAUGUGUCUACAGACAACCCUCAAGAAAAAGACGAAUCCAACCAAUUACAGAGAUCAGAUGCUCGAGUAAGUGAAGAAACAACUACGGGAGGUAGUGGAAAUAAUGAAAAUAUGAUUGUCCCUUCUCCUAGUUCUAUGGUAGAUGGCACUGGAAAUGUUGGUGUUGGACCUGCUGAUGGUGCUUCACUUCAAGAAAGAGAGACAUCGAAUGCAAAUGAGCAAGUUGCUGACAUGCAGUAUGAACGCAGUGAUGCAGCUGUACGAGAUGUGGAAGCAGUGAGCCAAGCAAGCAGUGGAAGCGGUGCAACUUUAGGGGAAAGCCUUCGUAGCUUGGAAGUGGAAAUAGGAAGUGUUGAUGGGCAUGAUGAUGGAGAAAGGCAAGGCCCUGCAGAUAGGCUUCCUUUGGGCGAUUUGCAACCAUCCACUCGGGUGAGAAGGUCCUCAGGAAACACAGUGCCAAUGGGUAUCAGGGAUGUAUCCCUGGAAAGUGUCAGUGAGGUUCCGCAACAUGCAAGUCAAGAAGCUGGUCAGAGUGGUCCACAUGAAGAGCAGCAAUCCAAUAGAAAUGUCGAUACAGAUGCAAUUGAUCCUACAUUUUUAGAGGCUCUUCCUGAGGAGUUGCGGGCAGAAGUACUUUCUUCACGACAGAAUCAAGUGGCACAGCCUUCCAGUGAGCGAUCUCAAGCUGAUGGAGACAUUGAUCCAGAAUUUCUUGCUGCACUUCCUCCUGAUAUCCGAGAAGAGGUCCUUGCACAACAACGGGCUCAGAGGCUACAACAGUCACAAGAAUUGGAGGGACAGCCUGUUGAAAUGGAUGCUGUUUCAAUAAUAGCUACGUUUCCUUCAGAAAUACGAGAAGAGGUGCUCUUAACAUCCCCAGAUACUCUGCUGGCUACUUUGACACCUGCACUUGUUGCUGAAGCAAAUAUGCUGCGGGAAAGGUUUGCUCACCGCCACCGGUAUAGUGGUACACUUUUUGGCAUGAACUCGAGAAGGCGGGUUGAGUCUUCUAGGCAUGGUGAUAUUAGUGGUUCAAGUCUAGACAGAACUACUGGUGAUGUUGCCCACAAGUCUGCAGCUGGCAAGCUGAUUGAAACUGAUGGGGCCCCUCUGGUUGAUACAGAUGCUCUGAAAGCCUUGAUCAGGUUGCUUCGUGUUGUUCAGCCUCUAUAUAAAGGUCAAUUACAAAGGCUUCUCUUGAAUCUAUGUGCCCAUCAUGAAACUAGAAUGUCUUUGGUGCAAAUACUAAUGGAUAUGCUUAUGCUUGAUCUGCGGGGCUCCACUGAUAAUUCAGUUGAUGCUGCUGAACCACCUUAUCGAUUGUAUGGCUGUCAGAGUUAUGUUACAUACUCCCGGCCUCAAUUCUCAAAUGGAGUGCCUCCUCUAGUGUCCCGUCGUAUCCUAGAAACCCUGACAUACUUGGCCCGGAAUCAUCCAAAUGUGGCAAAGCUCUUACUUCAUCUUGAGUUGGUACGGCCACCUGUAUGUGAAGCGGAUGCUUCUUCUCAGGGACGUGGUAAGGCUGUUAUUAUGGAAGAAGAAAAACCUGUAGAUAAGAAAGGGGAUUUUGCUAUUGUCCUGCUUUUGAGUCUCUUGAAUCAGCCAUUGUACAUGAGAAGCAUAGCUCAUCUUGAACAGUUGUUAAAUCUCCUUGAAGUUAUCAUGGUUAAUGCUGAGAAUGAUUCUGGCCUAUCUAAUAAAUCUGGAGAGUCUCCCAAUCAACCAUCUGGUUCAGAUAACACCAUGCAAGAUACACAGAUGAAUACUGAUGCUAUUGUAUCUUCUGCUGGUGGGGAUGGAAAAUCAUUGAAGGCAGAGGAAUCUGGUAGAGGCUCUUCGGCUGUAAACGGUGAAAGAAGUAUACGAGCUGUUCUACUGAGCCUACCACAAGCAGAACUGCGACUUCUUUGCUCAUUGCUUGCACGUGAAGGGUUGUCUGAUAAUGCAUAUGUUCUUGUGGCUGAUGUGUUGAAAAAGAUAGUGGCUAUUGCUCUUAGCUAUUGCAGUUUAUUCAUUACUGAACUUGCAAAUUCUGUGCAAAAUUUGACUUUGUGUGCUAUGACUGAAUUACACUUGUAUGAGGAUGCUGAAAAGGCUCUUCUUAGCACAUCUUCUACCAACGGGACUGCAGUCUUGAGGGUUUUGCAGGCAUUGAGCUCUCUUGUUGCUGCAUUACAUGAAAAGAAGAAUCCACAGCUUCUUCUGGAAAAAGAUUAUGCUGAUGCUUUGUCUCAGAUAUGGGAUAUAAAUGCAGCAUUGGAGUCCUUGUGGGUAGAGUUGAGCAACUGCAUAAGCAAAAUUGAGAGCACCUCAGAAUCCCCCUCAGAUUUAUCUGCUCUUUCAGGACAUUUGGCAUCCACAGCUGCAGGUGUAGCACCUCCACUGCCAGCAGGUACCCAAAACAUCCUGCCAUAUAUUGAAUCAUUCUUUGUAACCUGUGAAAAGUUACGCCCCGGACAAUCAGAAACAGUUCAAGAAUUUGCUGCCACAACUUCUUCUGAUAUUGAAGAUUCCACAACUUCAACUAGUGGACAGAAAUCAUUGGGUACCUGUCCAAAUGUUGAUGAGAAACAUGUUGCUUUUGUUAAAUUCUCGGAGAAACAUAGGAAGUUGUUAAAUGCAUUCAUUCGGCAGAAUCCUGGGUUGCUCGAGAAGUCAUUCUCGCUUAUGCUAAAAGUUCCGCGCUUCAUUGAUUUUGACAAUAAGCGUGCUUAUUUCCGAUCAAAAAUUAAACAUCAACAUGACCAUCAUCACAGUCCAGUGAGGAUUUCUGUGAGAAGAGCCUACAUACUUGAAGACUCCUAUAACCAACUACGAAUGAGAUCACCUCAAGAUCUGAAGGGGAGGCUGACUGUUCAUUUCCAAGGAGAAGAAGGUAUCGAUGCUGGCGGGCUUACCAGGGAAUGGUAUCAGUUAUUAUCUCGCGUAAUAUUUGACAAGGGUGCACUGCUUUUCACAACAGUGGGCAAUGAGUCAACCUUUCAACCAAAUCCCAACUCUGUCUACCAAACAGAACAUCUCUCAUAUUUCAAGUUUAUAGGAAGAGUGGUUGGUAAAGCACUCUUUGAUGGUCAGCUUCUAGAUGUUCAUUUUACUCGAUCUUUCUACAAGCACAUUCUUGGGGCGAAGGUCACUUAUCAUGACAUUGAGGCUAUUGAUCCUGACUACUAUAAGAACCUAAAGUGGAUGCUUGAGAAUGAUAUAAGUGAUAUAUUGGACCUUACUUUCAGCAUGGAUGCUGAUGAGGAGAAGCUGAUAUUGUAUGAGAAGGCAGAGGUAACUGAUUGUGAGUUGAUUCCUGGUGGGCGAAAUAUCAGGGUUACUGAAGAAAAUAAACAUGAAUAUGUAGAUCGUGUAGCAGAACACCGCCUAACAACCGCCAUUAGGCCCCAAAUUAAUGCAUUUAUGGAAGGUUUCAAUGAAUUGAUACCUCGGGAUUUGAUAUCCAUUUUCAAUGACAAAGAGCUAGAAUUAUUGAUCAGUGGACUUCCAGAUAUUGAUUUGGAUGAUUUGAGAGCAAAUACUGAGUAUUCUGGCUACAGCAAUGCAUCGCCUGUCAUUCAAUGGUUCUGGGAAGUGCUUCAGGGCUUCAGCAAGGAGGAUAAAGCUCGGUUCCUGCAGUUUGUCACUGGCACCUCCAAGGUCCCAUUGGAAGGUUUUAGUGCCCUCCAAGGAAUCUCAGGCUCACAGAGGUUUCAGGUACACAAGGCAUAUGGCAGCCCCCACCAUCUGCCUUCAGCUCAUACCUGCUUCAACCAAUUGGACCUGCCUGAAUACACCUCCAAGGAACAGCUGCAGGAGAGGUUGCUUCUAGCCAUACAUGAAGCAAACGAAGGGUUUGGGUUUGGUUGACGGUCGCCAGCGUGUGCCUUGAACUUGUGCAGAUACAAAUGUUGAAAAGGGCAAGCAUUCCACCAGUGACCUGGCCCAGCUGUUGGUAACACAAUUCCAAUCUGUCAUUUCUUCGUCAUUCUCCAUCAGCUUCAGAUAAUCUAGUAGUCUCCCAGGGCUUUUUUUCUCAGAAGCAGAAGCUGCAGUUGUGGGUAGAAUCAUGCCGGUUUAUAAGAGAUAGAAGCUCCUAUCUGUUUCCAAAAGUCCUGCAAGUUUUUUGUUUGCAUGUUAAUGGGGUAGGAUGCAUGAGCUCCUCAUGACCCAAAUAUAAGACAGGACAGGUCCUAAUGCCUUCUACCAUUGAUGGAAUUAUGGCCAAGGUUUUGAUGCUUGGAAUGCGAGCGCAAGUAUCCAUUAUCUACCAAAACAUGGAGGAAGCAACAAAGCAUAGAACAAGUUGGGGAAUGGGAUUGUGCAACUCUGGUUGUUGUCUUCUCACCUCAAAAAAAAAGUUCGGACAUACACUUCGCGGAAUGAUUCCUGUUUUAUGAUAUUUAAGCAAGCUGAUUCAAAUAAACGAGUGAAAAAUUGUGAUUAGACUGACCUGGUAAUAUUCCAUAAAUAAACGGAGGUAUUUUUUGACUCAUUCAGGUGUAUGAAAUAAAGAAACCUCCAUUGUGGGGCAACUCUCAA